CCAGACUCCUACGGGAGGCAGCAGUGGGGAGUAUUGCACAAUGGGGGAAACCCUGAUGCAGCGACGCCGCGUGAGCGAUGAAGUAUUUCGGUAUGUAAAGCUCUAUCAGCAGGGAAGAAAAUGACGGUACCUGAGUAAGAAGCCCCGGCUAACUACGUGCCAGCAGCCGCGGUAAUACGUAGGGGGCAAGCGUUAUCCGGAUUUACUGGGUGUAAAGGGAGCGUAGACGGCUGCGCAAGUCAGAAGUGAAAGCCCGGGGCUCAACCGCGGGACUGCUUUUGAAACUGUGUAGCUAGAGUGCAGGAGAGGUAAGUGGAAUUCCUAGUGUAGCGGUGAAAUGCGUAGAUAUUAGGAGGAACACCGGCGGCGAAGGCGGCCUGCUGGACCGUAACUGACGUUGAGGCUCGAAAGCGUGGGGAGCAAACAGGAUUAGAUACCCCCGUAC
rnacentral:rRNA from 1 species